rnacentral:tRNA from 1 species
GAGGGUAAGAGUUCAGUGGUAGAGCACGUGCUUAAUGUGCACAAGGUCCUGGGUUCAAUCCCCAAUACCUCCA